ACGUUUGUCUACGUCAGAACUAUGCGGCGCUUCAAAUAUACCGCAGGCUUGCAUGACAUAUUGGUGAAGGUCUUGUUCAUUUUUUGUCUCGACCCCUACAGUAUGCACUUCAGCAGUAAGUAAGUUUUUUCGGCCCUGUACUCCCGACAAAGGAUAAUUUAAUUUGGAUAAUUUCGGCAGCUGAUGGCCAAAGAACCUCUGGAAAAGCUAUGGUUCAAAGACCUGAUGGACAAACCCAGCCAGGAGGCACAAGGAGGCCAGACCCUGAACUUCCCUUCCUAUACAGAUGGAUAAGAUCAUUGUUGUCAUGUUUUAUUUUUUUGUACCUUUAAGUGCUGCAGUGAUAUACUAAACAUGAGAUAGUGUCCCCUCUUCCUCUCCAUGUGUAUACAAUUAAAAUGCAAUAUUGUGGACGGCGUUUCAAGCUUCGUAUAAAUAUUUAGGUAAAUGAACCAUGCCUUUUUUUGUGUGUGGGUUUGAUGUUGGAUAUAGAUUGACAGUAAAACAGUUAUUUGAGGUGGCUUUACAGUUCCCUCCGGAAGUGCUGUUUCACGCUUGUGUGCAUGCACAUGGUACACAAAACAUCUUCUCUCAGUCUAGCCAGCCUACACUUCUGCAUACUGAUUGAGGUAACAUGCUCUGAGGCUUGUAUCAAGUUUAGCAAAGUGCCUAACUACUCGAGGCACUAUGGAAUGUAACAUGGUGUGAUUGAGCCUGAUGAAAACAAGUCAACUUUAUUAAAACAUCAGGCAGCACAUGUCAAGCUGGCUCAACUAAAGAGUUGUAACAGUUGCAUAUUAAAA